AAAACCCGAGGAUGUAAUUGUUUCUGGUGGAAACAUAUCUGUCGGCCAAAAUGAUACACUCUCAGCUCUUUCAUCUGAAUUAGGUCAGCAUCAAACCAUGAGGCAGUUAGAGCAACAUGGAGCUUUUGAUUUUGGCUUUGACAUUAAUGGACUGUAUGGUCAAAUUUUAGUUUCUUGUCUCCACCAACAUUCUGAUUUCUCCGAAGUUCACCUUGUUGGCAGCUGGGGAGUUGGAUGUCUUAUUGAAGCAACGAGCAUUGUUGAGGGUGCACAGUGGUACUGCCAAAUGUGUCAAGUACAAGUCUGGGUCCAGGAUUCUCCUAGUUGUUUCUGGUGCUGGAUACGGUCGGCAUAGGACAAAAUAUAGGACUGGAAGGUGUAUUUCUGUUGACAAUAGUUUGUCUUGUUGCUUCGGAGAUCCUCCUUUGUCUUCUUAUUAUCUGCACAACGCUCCACGGGAACAACAAUUAAAUUUUUCCUUCAUUCUAGUUUUUUAAUGAUUAUUACAUGCUUCUACUUUCUGCCUUGUUUUCUGUGGAAAAUGAGGAGCUGAGUUUCUGAGAAUGUUGCUCUUCUUCUAUUACUAAAGGUUUUUCCAUGAAGACAAAAGCCCUCCGAGAGCUUGUAUCACACAGUUUAUGUAAUGACAACAAGCUGAAGACAUUAGCUUAAAUUAUAAUUUGACUCGGUCAAACGCACUUUUUAUC
rnacentral:lncRNA from 1 species